AUUGAACGCUNGCGGCAUGCCUUACACAUGCAAGUCGAACGGCAGCACGGGAGCAAUCCUGGUGGCGAGUGGCGAACGGGUGAGUAAUAUAUCGGAACGUGCCCAGUCGUGGGGGAUAACGCAGCGAAAGCUGUGCUAAUACCGCAUACGAUCUACGGAUGAAAGCGGGGGAUCGCAAGACCUCGCGCGAUUGGAGCGGCCGAUAUCAGAUUAGGUUGUUGGUGGGGUAAAAGCCCACCAAGCCGACGAUCUGUAGCUGGUCUGAGAGGACGACCAGCCACACUGGAACUGAGACACGGUCCAGACUCCUACGGGAGGCAGCAGUGGGGAAUUUUGGACAAUGGGCGCAAGCCUGAUCCAGCAAUGCCGCGUGCAGGAUGAAGGCCUUCGGGUUGUAAACUGCUUUUGUACGGAACGAAACGGUCCACUCUAAUACAGUGGGCUAAUGACGGUACCGUAAGAAUAAGCACCGGCUAACUACGUG
rnacentral:rRNA from 1 species